UACGGGGGGGGCAAGCGUUGUUCGGAAUUACUGGGCGUAAAGGGCUCGUAGGCGGCCAACUAAGUCGGAUGUGAAAUCCCCAGGCUUAACCUGGGAACUGCAUCCGAUACUGGAUGGCUUGAAUUCGGGAGAGGGAUGCAGAAUUCCAGGUGUAGCGGUGAAAUGCGUAGAUAUCUGGAGGAAUACCGGUGGCGAAGGCGGCUCGCUGGACCGGUUCUGACGCUGAUGCGCGAAAGCGUGGGGAGCAAACGGG
rnacentral:rRNA from 1 species